UCUACGGUGGGCAGCAGUGGGGAAUAUUGGACAAUGGGCGAAAGCCUGAUCCAGCCAUGCCGCGUGUGUGAAGAAGGCCUUCGGGUUGUAAAGCACUUUCAGUGGGGAAGAAAGCCUUGGGGCUAAUACCCUCGAGGAAGGACAUCACCCACAGAAGAAGCACCGGCUAACUCCGUGCCAGCAGCCGCGGUAAUACGGAGGGUGCGAGCGUUAAUCGGAAUUACUGGGCGUAAAGCGCGCGUAGGCGGUCUGAUAAGCCGGUUGUGAAAGCCCCGGGCUCAACCUGGGAACGGCAUCCGGAACUGUCAGGCUAGAGUGCAGGAGAGGAAGGUAGAAUUCCCGGUGUAGCGGUGAAAUGCGUAGAGAUCGGGAGGAAUACCAGUGGCGAAGGCGGCCUUCUGGACCGACACUGACGCUGAGGUGCGAAAGCGUGGGUAGCAAACAGGAUUAGAUACCCUGGUAGUC
rnacentral:rRNA from 1 species